GAUGAAGAACGUAGCGAAAUGCGAUACGUAAUGUGAAUUGCAGAAUUCAGUGAAUCAUCGAGUCUUUGAACGCACAUUGCGCCCUCUGGUAUUCCGGAGGGCAUGCCUGUCCGAGCGUCAUUGCUGCCCUCAAGCACGGCUUGUGUGUUGGGCCCCGCCCCCCGAUCCCGGGGGGCGGGCCCGAAAGGCAGCGGCGGCACCGCGUCCGGUCCUCGAGCGUAUGGGGCUUUGUCACCCGCUCUAUAGGCCCGGCCGGCGCUUGCCGAUCAACCAAACUUUUUUCCAGGUUGACCUCGGAUCAGGUAGGGAUACCCGCUGAACUUAAGCAUAUCAAUAAGCGGAGGA
rnacentral:misc_RNA from 1 species